rnacentral:lncRNA from 1 species
UGCUGUAAACUUUUGAUUCAUUUCCAGAGUUCCAAUAAAGUUGAUUCUGAUGGUUUUUGCUAAUUUAUUUGCUGCUUUUAGGGAGGAACAAACUUUGGCUUUCUCCACUCCACCAUUUUCACUGAUGUCACUGUCUUAUCUAGUCUUUUUGAUAGCCGAAUUCAUGGGAAUUACAUUCAGAAUGAUGUGACUGCAACAAAUUAAGCGCACUUUAAAGGGGAAAAGGAAAGAGUUUACCAAGUUCUCUUUGGGAGUGCCUAAGGGGUGGUUAAUAGGUUAAUUGGGCUGGGCACGGUAGCUCACGCCUGUAAUCCCAGCACUUUGAGAGGCCAAGGCGGGCGGCUCACGAGGUCAGGAGAUCGAGACCAUCCUGGCCAACAUGGUGAAACCGCGUCUCUACUAAAAUACACAAAAAAAUUAGCUGGGCGUGGUAGCGCAUGCCUGUAGUCCCAACUACUCGGGAGCCUGAGGCAGGGGAAUCUCUUGAACCCGGGAGGCGGAGGUUGCAGUGAGCCGAGAUCGCGCCACUGCACUCCAGCCUGGGAGACAGAGCAAGACUCCGUCUAAAAAAUAAAAAUAAAAUAAUAAUAAUAACGGCUUAAUUGUUAACAAUCUACUGUAGGGCAGUAAGGUAAUGGCUACAUAAUGGGUGACCCUAGAAGGUUUACAAGGAAAAGUCUGUGGAAGUUACCAGGAACUGUGUGAAGAAGGGUGAGCUAAGGCCUGCUUGCUUAUAUUGAGGAAACUGCUCCAGGGACCUUACAUUUAAGGACUCUGAUUCCUACUUAGCGUAGUCCCUAAGUGUGUUCACUACAGAUGCAGGCUGGUCUCUCUGCUGAGGCAGGCUGGUCUCUCUGCUGAGGGAAGCCAAAAGGCUCAUGAGGCAUGGGCCUAUUCUCUAGCAUACUAGAGAGGAUGAUGAUUUUCUUGGCAGAAUGGAAGAAAUCUAGAAAGUCAAAAAAAAAAAAAAAAGAAAAAGAAAAAAGAAAAGAUGAAAAAGACAUAUAAGAAACAAUCAACGUAAAGGAAUGAAUUAAAUAAUAUGAUCUGGUAGAAAACCAUAAGGAAAAUAAAUUGUGCUUUCAUAGUUACUAGUGGCUAGUCAACUAAAAAUAACCUUUGCUUCAGUUUGAUUUUAAAGCCUGGAAUACUAAAGCUUCCCAGAUAUCAUCACAUCAGAAACCUCCUGGCAUUUGUUUGGGAAGAGCACAGGGGUAAUAUUGGCUGAUGACUUCCACUCUAAAGAUUGUGGAAUCAACCUUAGCUGUAAGCUCUGGAACUUGUACUUGAGCCUGUUCAUGUCUGCUGAUUCACAUGUAUAGAACUAGAUAGAGUCAGAAAAAGUCUGGAACGUAUUUCUAAUGACAGAGACGGUGGGUAGAAGACAGAAUGAUUUAGGAAUCAAUUUUUUUUUUUUUUUUUUGAGACAGAGUCUCACUCUAUCACCCAGGCUGGAGUACAGUGGCAUGAUGUUGGCUCACUGC